UGUGGUGUUACAUGAGGGAUUUGAUUGCAUCAUAUGAUUGAGAUAAUUGGAGGAAGAAUUCCUGUCUCAUGGGAUUAUUUUCCCUAAAAAUUAGUUGGCAGGUUUGAUGUCUCCUUAUUAGCGAGAUCGGUACACUAGUCAAUUAGAGUUAAUUUAGAACUAUUCGGAGCAACACCGAGCACCCGAUGCAUGAAAGAGCAAAAAAGAACCAAAAUGCACUUAGUAGCCAAGCCUUCUGUUGCUGGGUACCGCCUAGGAAAAAAUGAAGGACAAGGCACCUCAGCUUGAGUUGAAGGCACUUCAAGAUCAUUUGAAUAUGCUUACCUUGGAAAUCUGGGGGACUUACCUGUAAUCAUCUCCAAAGAAUUGACUAUAGAACAGAAAGACAAGUUGGUGCAAGUUGUUCAAGAGCAUAAGAUAGGCAUAGGUGGACCCUUACAAUCUUGUAGUUUACAUGCACAUGAUUGAACUUGAAGAGGGAACCAAACCAUGGAGGUAGCUUUUCAGGUGUCUUAAACUCGAUUUAAAAGAUGUAAUGAUGAAGGAGAUCUUCAAGCUACUUGAAGUAGGGAUUAUCCGCCCUAUUGCAAAUGGUGAAUAGGUAUGUCAAAAUCAUGUGUGUCCAAGAAAAUAGGUAUUGUUGAUAUUAAAAAUGACGACGGUGUAUUGGUAAUUGUUAAAAAUUAGAAUG